CGAAGAAUCUACAAGCAUGAGGCUGGAUGGACAGAGAAGAGUGGAAUUACAUCAUAUAUACCAAUUUAAGAAAAAAAAGCUCCACUUGAAAUUGGAGAGAUGGAUAAAUGUAAUAUACUGAGAGUGUAAACAGUGCAUUGAUAGCAAAAUAUGGAAGCAACAUGAAGGCAACAGCUCAAAAGCAACUUCUGGUGGAAAAAAUGCAUCAGGAGCAUUCUAAUGCCAUCAGUGCCAUUUCUUCUAUAAACCAACAGUAAAUGCCUGAAGCCAAGGCCAGAAUCAGCUAUUUUCGUAGCAAUGGGGUUUGAGAUGUAUGUUGUUGAUCCAAUUCUGAAUUUAUUUUUGAUGGAGUCCAGUAAAGGUUUGUGAUGAAGAAUGAAGUCCUGUUUGAUGCAGAAAGAAGUAAAUGUAAUAGUUGAUGAUUUGAAGAAUUCAACAUUGGAGAUCUGAAGAAGUUUGGCCAGUGUUGUAACAUCAUGAAGUGCAUUAUGUGCAUCUGUUUCAUUGAACCCAUGCACAAAUUUUUUGGCUAAUGUGCUUUGUUUAUAGUUGGGUAAAUCUUUAUGUAUUUUUUUAAAGUGAGCAAGUGUAUCACCAAUGCCUUGAAUUAAUUGUAAGCCUUCUUUAACUAGAUUCAUUUUUUUCAUAUGAUUGUAAAAAACUGGAAAGUCAAAAGCAUACGAGUUAUGUCCAACCAGGGUGAUUUUAUUUUUUUUGUUCUUCCUGUAUGUUAGUCAGCCAUUGUAGAAAUUCAUUGGUCAUUGUGAUAGGUGUAACAGUUUCUACCCAGGCGCCAUUAAAGUCUAGUCGUUUAAGACCAUCUUUAUCAUAUCUAAUCGAUAAUUUCGUAACUUUUGAUGCACCUGGUGUUAUAUCUUUUUCUGGGAUUGUAUAUCUAUUGAAGGUUGUCGUUUGGUCAAGUGUUGUUGCUGCAAUUUGGACUAUGUCUGCAUCUCUUCCUGUAAUACAGAA